CAGAGAAGGAGAGCCUGCAAAGCAGCCUGCUGGAGGCUGAGCAGCACAUAUGGGAGCUGGAGAUGGCCAGGAGCCCUGUGGAAGCCCAAGUGCACAGGGCCAGGCAGGCCAAGGAGGCGAUACUGGAGGAUGUGAGGGGCCUUCGUUGUGAGCUGCUGGCUGUAAGAGCUCUCAGCCAGCAGCAAUGUGAAGACAUGGCUGAACAGCUCCGCUGGGCACAAGAACAGUGCUGCAAGGCUCUGAGACUCUGGCAAUCUGCCCAGGAAGAGGAAAAAAGGAACCUCAUGCAAAAACUGGAGAGACAACUGGAAGAGCAGCAUGUGGAGGCACGGAAGCAGCUGGAGGAACGGGCAAACUUCCUGGCGGAG